rnacentral:rRNA from 1 species
UACAGAGGUCUCAAGCGUUGUUCGGAUUCAUUGGGCGUAAAGGGUGCGUAGGCGGCGCGGUAAGUCGGGUGUGAAAUCUUGGAGCUUAACUCCGAAACUGCAUUCGAUACUGCCGUGCUUGAGGACUGGAGAGGAGACUGGAAUUUACGGUGUAGAGGUGAAAUGCGUAGAUAUCGUAAGGAAGACCAGUGGCGAAGGCGGGUCUCUGGACAACUCCUGACACUGAGGCACGAAAGCUAGGGGAGCAAACAGG